CUAAACUUAUUUCUACCCAGCUUGUUUCUGCUCAGAAGCUGCUGCUGGAGCACAAAGAUGUGGAGAUUGACUAUGAAGGGGAGGACGACCAGUUACACCUAAAUGUGAACUGGCCACAAUGCGUCGAGGCACAAAAUGAGAAGCUUCAAACAAUAUUAGAAGAAUAUGAAGAUCAAUACUAGUACGCGCAAAUAAGUGACUCUGAAUCUGCAGAGGAACUGAUGAAGUGGCGAGAAACGGUUUCUAAGUCAACACCGAGCCAUGACAACGAUGAGUGGACUGUCAUGGAUUUAAGGAUGAAUCAAGUUGAGGAAAAAAGAGAAGAUUUGAUCUCAGAACUGCCGGAGCUGGAGGAGGAAGUGUGGGAUCUUCAGACACAAGGAC